AGCCUGAACGCUGGCGGCGUGGCUAAGACAUGCAAGUCGCACGGAGGUAGCAAUACCUUAGUGGCGAACGGGUGAGUAAUGUAUCGCUAACGUACCCUUUAGUCCGGGAUAGCCAGGGGAAACUCUGGGUAAUACCGGGUGAUAUUCUUCUUCCGCAUGGUUGGAGACUCAAAGGAGCAAUCCGCUGAAAGGGAGCGGGGCUAGGUACUAACGGGUACUCCAAGUACGUAGUUGGUGAGGUAACGGCUCACCAAGGCGACGACGCGUAGCCGGACUGAGAGGUCGGUCGGCCACAUUGGGACUGAGACACUGCCCAGACUCCUACGGGGGCUGCAGUAACGAAUCUUCCGCAAUGCACGCAAGUGUGACGGAGCGACGCCGCGUGUGGGACGAAGUCCUUCGGGAUGUAAACCACUGUCAGGGGUUACCAAGUUCUGAGGAGCCCCAGAGGAAGGCACGGCUAACUCUGUGCCAGCGAGCCGC
rnacentral:rRNA from 1 species